rnacentral:rRNA from 1 species
AGUGAACGCUGGCGGUAGGCCUAACACAUGCAAGUCGAACGGCAGCACAGUAAGAGCUUGCUCUUACGGGUGGCGAGUGGCGGACGGGUGAGGAAUACAUCGGAAUCUACUUUUUCGUGGGGGAUAACGUAGGGAAACUUACGCUAAUACCGCAUACGACCUACGGGUGAAAGCAGGGGAUCUUCGGACCUUGCGCGAUUGAAUGAGCCGAUGUCGGAUUAACUAGUUGGCGGGGUAAAGGCCCACCAAGGCGACGAUCCGUAGCUGGUCUGAGAGGAUGAUCAGCCACACUGGAACUGAGACACGGUCCAGACUCCUACGGGAGGCAGCAGUGGGGAAUAUUGGACAAUGGGCGCAAGCCUGAUCCAGCCAUACCGCGUGGGUGAAGAAGGCCUUCGGGUUGUAAAGCCCUUUUGUGGGGAAAGAAAAGCAGCAGGUUAAUACCCCGCUGUUCUGACGGUACCCAAAGAAUAAGCACCGGCUAACUUCGUG